rfam:Cochliobolus heterostrophus C5 unplaced genomic scaffold COCHEscaffold_10, whole genome shotgun sequence.
ACAUACGAUCACUGGCAAAGAGUCGCUCUGGGUCUCGUUUCGCUCCCCGUACGAUAAACCUUUGACCGGCAGAUCAGUAGUCAGGUGGGUGGCCACUGGCGAAUCCCCGCUGUCGUAUGUU